rnacentral:rRNA from 1 species
GACGAACGCUGGCGGCGUGCCUAAUACAUGCAAGUCGAGCGGACCACUUCGGUGGUCAGCGGCGGACGGGUGAGUAACACGUGGGCAACCUGCCUGUAAGACUGGGAUAACACCGGGAAACCGGUGCUAAUACCGGAUAAUCCUUCUCUUCUCAUGAAGAGAAGCUGAAAGACGGUUUCGGCUGUCACUUACAGAUGGGCCCGCGGCGCAUUAGCUAGUUGGUGAGGUAACGGCUCACCAAGGCAACGAUGCGUAGCCGACCUGAGAGGGUGAUCGGCCAGACUGGGACUGAGACCCGGCCCAGACACCUACGGGAGGCAGCAGAAGGGAAUCCUCCGCAAGGGACGAAAGUCUGACGGAGCAACCCCGCGUGAGCGAUGAAGGCCUUCGGGUCGUAAAGCUCUGUUGUCAGGGAAGAACAAGUACCGGAGUAACUGCCGGUACCUUGACGGUACCUGACCAGAAAGCCACGGCUAACUACGUGCCAGCAGCCGCCGUAA